rnacentral:rRNA from 1 species
UACGUAGGGUGCAAGCGUUAAUCGGAUUUACUGGGCGUAAAGCGUGCGCAGGCGGCUUUGCAAGACAGAUGUGAAAUCCCCGGGCUCAACCUGGGAACUGCAUUUGUGACUGCAAGGCUAGAGUACGGCAGAGGGGGAUGGAAUUCCGCGUGUAGCAGUGAAAUGCGUAGAUAUGCGGAGGAACACCAAUGGCGAAGGCAAUCCCCUGGGCCUGUACUGACGCUCAUGCACGAAAGCGUGGGGAGCAAACAGG